CGAGCACCUGCACUCAGGUGGGGGUCCGCAAUGCAGCCUUCUUCCUGUGAGAUUUCUAACUAAACUUCAGCGGAGAAAGUGAGAGUGCUAGCCCUUCAGUCGUGUCCGACUCUGUGACUCUGUGGACUGUAGCCCGCCAGGCUCCUCUGUCUGCGGGAUUCUCCAGGCAGGAAUGCGGGAGUCAGUAGCCAUACCCUUCUCCAGGGAUGCUCCUGAGCCAGGGAUGAAACCUGGGUCUCCUGCAUCGCAGGCGGAUUCUUUACCGUCUGAGCCACCAGGGAAGCCCCACUCCUCCAGUUACCUGGCAUUUAUUCUGUCUCUGAAGAAACCCCUCCCCUGUUCAGCUGCAACACUUGGAAAAUGCGGGCAGAGCAAGGAGCGGGCUGAAGACGACUCCAGAGCUGCAGAGACGGGCGGACGCAGAACUGGCCAACCUGGUGCUCCAGGGACGCGGAGCGGGUGAGGG
ensembl:lncRNA